UACGUAGGGACCGAGCGUUGUCCGGAUUCAUUGGGCGUAAAGAGCUCGUAGGCGGCCACUCAAGUCGAAUGUGAAAUCUCGAGGCUUAACCUCGAGCCUGCAUUCGAUACUGGGUGGCUAGAGUCUGGUAGGGGGAUCUGGAAUUCCUGGUGUAGCGGUGGAAUGCGCAGAUAUCAGGAGGAACACCGGUGGCGAAGGCGGGAUCCUGGGCCAGUACUGACGCUGAGGAGCGAAAGCGUGGGGAGCAAACAG
rnacentral:rRNA from 1 species